GAUGAACGCUGGCGGCGUGCCUAACACAUGCAAGUCGAGCGAACGGACGAGAAGCUUGCUUCUCUGAUGUUAGCGGCGCACGGGUGAGUAACACGUGGAUAACCCCCCUAUAAGACUGUGAUCACUUCGGGACACCGGAGCUAAUACCGGAUAAUAUUUUGAACCGCAUGGUUCAAAAGUGAAAGACGGCCUUGCUGUCACUUAUAGAUGGAUCCGCGCUGCAUUAGCUAGUUGGUAAGGUAACGGCUUACCAAGGCAACGAUGCAUAGCCGACCUGAGAGGGUGAUAGGCCACACUGGAACUGAGACACGGUCCAGACUCCUAAGGGAGGCAGCAGUAGGGAAUGUGACGCAAUGGGCGAAAGCCUGACGGAGCAACGCCGCGUGAGUGAUGAAGGUCUUCGGAUCGUAAAACUCUGUUAUGAGGGAAGAACAUAUGUGUAAGUAAAUGUGCAGAGCGUGACGGUACCUAAUCAGAAAGCAACGGCUAACUACGUG
rnacentral:rRNA from 1 species